rnacentral:rRNA from 1 species
GAGGCGAUGAAGGACGUGCUAAUCUGCGAAAAGCGUCGGUAAGGUGAUAUGAACCGUUAUAACCGGCGAUGUCCGAAUGGGGAAACCCAGUGUGAUUCGUCACACUAUCGUUAACUGAAUACAUAGGUUAACGAGGCGAACCUGUGGAACUGAAACAUCUAAGUACCCCGAGGAAAAGAAAUCAACCGAGAUUCCCCCAGUAGCGGCGAGCGAACGGGGAGCAGCCCAGAGUCUGAAUCAGCUUGUGUGUUAGUGGAACGGUCUGGAAAGUCCGACGGUACAGGGUGAUAGUCCCGUACACCAAAAUGCACAGGUUGUGAACUCGAAGAGUAGGGCGGGACACGUGGUAUCCUGUCUGAAUAUGGGGGGACCAUCCUCCAAGGCUAAAUACUCCUGAUUGACCGAUAGUGAACCAGUACCGUGAGGGAAAGGCGAAAAGAACCCCGGCGAGGGGAGUG